GCUAAAACCCUAAACAUUUUAUUUUACAGGAAAAAUACAGAUAAGAUUAGCAUGGCUGCUGUGCAAGGUUGACAUGCAAAUUCAUAAAACAUUCUAUAGUUUU